AGGGUCACCUUAAACCCGUCUUCUCUGUCUUCUGUCACAUUGCAGGGUUGCAUGCAUAGGCAUAAGAAUUUAUGCAUAUUCAAAGUUCCUUUGAGUUUAAAUGUUCUUUUUCUUGGUUUUAACCUUUGACUUAUCUGCAUGCCGUCUUGUAGAUUAAACCAAUAUAUUUUGUUUCUUCCUGUGAUGCCAUCCUGCUGUAUUUUCACUCCCUGAUAAUGAAGUUCAAUAAAUUCUUUUUUUUUUUUUUCAGUGCUCUGGUUUCUGUUUCCUUUAUCUUGUGCUUCAGAUAAGACAGUCCCCGAAUGUGGGAAAUCGCCUAAUUAUUUUAUACCACUUUCCGAGUUAGUUACGUUUAAAAAGCAUUUUAACAUUUCACAGUCUCUAUUGUGCUACAGUGUAGGAUACUAUAUGUCAGUACUGCUUAUAAAAGCUAUACAGUGAAUAUAUAAACUGACGUUUAUAUAUACUGUAUCAAGAGCAGGAAUUACAAAUUGUACUCUAUCAGGAUUUUUGUGGUCAAUAAUAACUUGCCAGAGUUAAUACAUAAAUGCCAAAGGCAAUAACUAUCUAUAUUUGCUAUUUACAAUACUGGGAUACUGGGUCUGAGCUCUGUUUCCCGGGAAGCAGUGGGAUGGGUGCCCUGUGCCCAUCCCCGGAGUCGCACAGAGAAGCUGCUCCUGUGGCUACGGCCCAGGGUCAGGGGGAAAACCUGAACGGUCCUGAUGGAAACCUAUGGAAAAAGAAGUUUGCUUUGGUUUUGGACUUGACAUUUUCCCCCUGACCCCCACCUGGUCCAGGUGUUUUGCCUUAGGGAACAGGAGACAGAAGGGGUAAUGGAUAAAAAGAUAAUUCAUUACCCCAAAAGGGAGGAGCUUAUUUCUAUUUGUUUCCUGAUGCACCUGGGAGCCUCCUUUUGUGUCCUGGGUGGGGCCGUGGCUAUAAAAGGGGUAAAGGAUGGAGGAAGGGGGGGUCCGGGGGGGGAGAGGAGCAGUGGGUGGGAUCAGUGGUGCCCUGGGGAUUUGCAUCUGGAAGCGGCCACCAGUUUCCUGGAAACAGCGCUCGGAGUCCGUGAGAAAUGGGAAUACUGCAGCUGGAAUGCUGAGAAUGGAGGCUCUGCAGAGAAUGUCGUGUGGGCAGCGUCUGACCCCAGGUCUCGGGGGCUGCGUGGAGAUUCCUCCCUGGAGCAGGGUGACCCCGUGAGGAUGAGCCACAGAGGUUCAGUUCUUGGACCAGGUGAGGAUCUCUUUCCACUUAGCAAUUGCUUUUGCUGGCUGUAAUGUCACAGCUCCAGUGUUCCUGCAGACAUUGUGCCCUGCAACAGCACUUACAGCUUCUGUGCUGGGCAGAGAGCAGUUCUGCUGUGGGAAAUGGACUUGCAGAAAAUUGUCAGAGUUUGACAGAAGGUUUACAUAGUAUGUAUCUGAAUGGAAAUUUUGAGAUAUGCCAUGGAGUAGGACUGAAAUUGUUGAGACAGAAAUGGAACUAGAAAUAAGUUUUAAAGGAUGAGUUUGUAAAUAAGACUAGAUACUUUAGAGAAAUAGAACUAGGAAAGAUGCAUUGUAAUAAGAUUUAUGAGGGGUAAUUUUAGAUGAUUGGUUUUAAGGCAUUUACAGCAUAGUGUAGCAAGAGUUGAUAGGCCAAGAAACACUUAUAAUGUAUUGUAAUUAGGAAAUAGUUGGCUUCUGAUUGUGAUGGUGUGAAUUAUAACAUCUGUAUUGUCUCACCCUUCACGUGAGACUGAAAAUGGAAUAAAAGUUUUUAAAAACACUUCUCA
rnacentral:lncRNA from 1 species